rnacentral:rRNA from 1 species
UACGGAGGGGGCUAGCGUUGUUCGGAAUUACUGGGCGUAAAGCGCACGUAGGCGGCUUUGUAAGUUAGAGGUGAAAGCCCAGGGCUUAACCCUGGAAUUGCCUUUAAGACUGCAUCGCUAGAAUUGUGGAGAGGUAAGUGGAAUUCCGAGUGUAGAGGUGAAAUUCGUAGAUAUUCGGAAGAACACCAGAGGCGAAGGCGGUUACCUGGACAGUUACUGACGCUCAGGCACGAAA